AAAGUCGUAAACAAAGGUUUCCGUAGGUGAAACCUGCGGAAGGAUCAUUACCGUGGGGGCUUCGGCCCCAUUGAGAUAGCACCCUUUGUUUACGAGUACCCUUGUUCCUCGGCGGGCUUGCCCGCCAGUAGGACAUCAAAAACCCUUUGCAGUAGCAGUAACUUCAGUUAAAAAACAAAUAUUAAAA
rnacentral:misc_RNA from 1 species